UAAUGAAUGUAGCAUGGUACUGUGCACGAAAACUAAGCUUUUGCGGAUCGACAUGUCUGCCAUCUCUGAGU
rnacentral:ncRNA from 1 species